AGUAACGCGUGGAUAACCUGCCUCACACUGGGGGAUAACAGUUAGAAAUGACUGCUAAUACCGCAUAAGCGCACAGUACCGCAUGGUACAGUGUGAAGAACUCCGGUGGUGUGAGAUGGAUCCGCGUCUGAUUAGCCAGUUGGCGGGGUAACGGCCCACCAAAGCGACGAUCAGUAGCCGACCUGAGAGGGUGACCGGCCACAUUGGGACUGAGACACGGCCCAA
rnacentral:rRNA from 1 species